UUGAACUGAUCAGGGCUCCUCCGUUCACAGCUGACCAUGAGGUUCCCUGCUCAGCUCCUGGGGCUCCUCCUGCUCUGGGUCCCAGGAUCCAGUGUUGGCCACCGUGCUGACCCAGACUCCACUCUCCCUGUCAGUCAGCCCUGGAGAGCCGGCCUCUAUCUCCUGCAGGUCCACUCAGAGCCUCCAAGUGAUACAGCCCUGAACACAAACCCCUCUCCUGGGCGCUCAGCUGCACACAUGUGUGUGCUGUCUGGGGAGCAGAGGGGCAGAAACUCUGAGUCUGUGUAAGAGGAAGAAGUGGGAGAACCAGGGGCAGAGGGUGCAGCUGAGGACCGUGGACCAGCGCUGCCUCAGCUCCUCCUCAGACACCGCAUGUUAAGACCCGUCAGCUUCCCAGCCUUGGCAUGAUACCCCCUUAGAAACAGGCCAGUGAGAGAAAUUGGCCUGGCCUAUGGGACAACCAAAACUCAGCUGAAUUCCCCUUUUGCAGCUCAGGUGUUCUGCCCGGACCAAGUCAGAACUUUAUCGGACGCAAUUUUGGAAAUAAUAAAGAGUAGCUUACUGUCAGGUAAAAAAAUAAAAGUAGUACAAUGAAAAGCAGAUCUUUAAUUUAGAAUUUUAGGCUAUACUAUUCUAUUUUCCAUUAAACUCUAAUGCGGUGAAAAUACAAAGUCUCCAAUUUACCCUUUUAUUUUGUAUGUUUUGCCUUUUGCAACGUUUGCAUUCCAAACCCUCUAAGACAAUUCCUUGAAAUGGAUAGUCUUGCCUUUUUCAACUUAAGUAAUUUUGUGGUGAUUAUAAAUUUGGUCAUCAAUUGUCCUAAAAGGAAAACAAUCCAACAAUAUAUAAAUGUAG